rnacentral:sRNA from 1 species
UGAACUGGGAUAUGAAGUCCAAGUGACGAA